rnacentral:antisense_RNA from 1 species
GCAGAUUUAGCAGUAAUUAUGUGGUGUAUGAACACCUUGCUAAUAAGUCUUUUGAUAGAUAUUUAAAUUAUAUUAUAUAGGAGGAAUAUUCAUCAGGAAAGCAGAAAAAUAACAUGGCAACAAUGUAAAGGCCUUGAUUAGAAUUACUUCAAAAUAGCACUUAUAUCAUUUAGUUGGGUCCUAAUGAAAACAGAGCCUAAAGACUACAUCAGGAAAGAAAGUCCUCUUCAUCUGGGGGUGCAAGUCAGUGCCCUGAAGAAAAUUUUAUAAGAAUCUCCAGGAAAUCACAACUUACGAGUGGCUGGGGCUCUGGAAAACAGAAUAGAACACUUCCUAUUAGAACUCAAAAGAAAAUGGCACUCGGAUCUUCAUGACAGUGCCCACCACCCCCCUCCUUUAAGCCAACCAGCAGACUUCAUUGUCAGGCCAUGGAGACACAGGGAGAUACUUGCCAAGGCAUCUGUGAGACGUGCUUCUUCAUCCUUCUGUGAAGAUGCAUGAGGCGCUCUGCAUCCCCACAGGAGAGAAACCCAGCAAGCACCGCCCAGGCCUGCUGGGACCCAUGGGGAGGCUAUGCAAGAA